rnacentral:tRNA from 1 species
GGCUUUGUAGCUCAGUUAGUAGAGCAGUUGACUCUUAAUCAGCGGAAACAGGGUUCGAGUCACUUCGAGGUCA